rnacentral:lncRNA from 1 species
GGGGGAAGUGUCAGAUACUUUUGUCACAAAUAACACUGUAAGAUACUAUCAUAUUAUAUGAUAGAAGAUGACAUGAGAAAGGAGAGACUGGAGUGUUUUAAUGUUGUUUUUGUUACAUAAGAAUCCAAAGUCACUUUGAAAAUUGUUAAACCCUUUUCGAUUGAUGGGAGAGAGUGUGUGUAUAUUAUUUGGGUUUCAAAAACCAAACUGACAAAAUCUCAUUGGCUUCACGUGUUUAUCAGCAGC